rnacentral:rRNA from 1 species
UACGAAGGGGGCUAGCGUUGCUCGGAAUCACUGGGCGUAAAGGGUGCGUAGGCGGGUCUUUAAGUCAGGGGUGAAAUCCUGGAGCUCAACUCCAGAACUGCCUUUGAUACUGAAGAUCUUGAGUUCGGGAGAGGUGAGUGGAACUGAGAGUGUAGAGGUGAAAUUCGUAGAUAUUCGCAAGAACACCAGUGGCGAAGGCGGCUCACUGGCCCGAUACUGACGCUGAGGCACGAAAGCGUGGGGAGCAAACAGG